GGUAACCUGCCUGUAAGACUGGGAUAACUCCGGGAAACCGGGGCUAAUACCGGAUGGUUGUUUGAACCGCAUGGUUCAAACAUAAAAGGUGGCUUCGGCUACCACUUACAGAUGGACCCGCGGCGCAUUAGCUAGUUGGUGAGGUAACGGCUCACCAAGGCAACGAUGCGUAGCCGACCUGAGAGGGUGAUCGGCCACACUGGGACUGAGACACGGCCCAGACUCCUACGGGAGGCAGCAGUAGGGAAUCUUCCGCAAUGGACGAAAGUCUGACGGAGCA
rnacentral:rRNA from 1 species